rfam:Colius striatus contig48567, whole genome shotgun sequence.
CUGCAUGUUAAAAAAACUCCCAAAUUCUGCUCUUCAUUCCCAUGAAGUGCAGGAGUAUUUAUAUAACAUGCUACAGAAAACAAGGAGUUUUCAGGGCUGCCAGUCUUGUAGUAAAGGCUGAGUGGUAGUAUAGGUCUCCUACAUUU